GUAGGGAAUAUUGCACAAUGGGCGCAAGCCUGAUGCAGCAACGCCGCGUGAACGAUGAAGGCCUUCGGGUCGUAAAGUUCUUUUUGAGGAGACGAGGAAGGACGGUAUCCUCAGAAUAAGGAUCGGCUAACUACGUGCCAGCAGCCGCGGUAAAACGUAGGAUCCGAGCGUUAUCCGAAUUCACUGGGCGUAAAGCGCGUGCAGGCGGUACAGCAAGUUGGAUGUAAAAUCUCCUGGCUCAACUGGGAGGGGACGUACAAAACUGCUGAACUAGAGGACGGCAGAGGAAGGUGGAAUUCCCGGUGUAGUGGUGAAAUGCGUAGAUAUCGGGAGGAACACCAGUGGCGAAGGCGGCCUUCUGGGCCGUACCUGACGCUCAGACGCGAAAGCUAGGGGAGCAAACGGGAUUAGAAACCCUGGUAGUCC
rnacentral:rRNA from 1 species